GAUGAACGCUGGCGGCGUGCCUAAUACAUGCAAGUCGAGCGAACUGAUUAGAAGCUUGCUUCUAUGACGUUAGCGGCGGACGGGUGAGUAACACGUGGGCAACCUGCCUGUAAGACUGGGAUAACUUCGGGAAACCGAAGCUAAUACCGGAUAGGAUCUUCUCCUUCAUGGGAGAUGAUUGAAAGAUGGUUUCGGCUAUCACUUACAGAUGGGCCCGCGGUGCAUUAGCUAGUUGGUGAGGUAACGGCUCACCAAGGCAACGAUGCAUAGCCGACCUGAGAGGGUGAUCGGCCACGCUGGGACUGAGACACGGCCCAGACUCCUACGGGAGGCAGCAGUAGGGAAUCUUCCGCAAUGGACGAAAGUCUGACGGAGCAACACCGCGUGAGUGAUGAAGGCUUUCGGGUCGUAAAACUCUGUUGUUAGGGAAGAACAAGUACGAGAGUAACUGCUCGUACCUUGACGGUACCUAACCGGAAAGCCACGGCUAACUACGUGCCAGCCGCCGCGGUAA
rnacentral:rRNA from 1 species